UAAUAUACGAAAUUUGUGACGAAAUAAGUGUAUAAAAUAAAUAGUUGCAUUUAUUUUAUCUAUUACAUUUUUUUUAAUGUGAUCGAUGAUGGAGAGAUAUAUUUAUAGAUAAAUAGAGGAAUUUAUGUGAGAGUUUAUGAGUAGGUGGAAGGAGAUAGAAUCUAGCUAUCAUAUGUAUGCAUUAUACUUGGUGUCCGUAGUCCUGUAUAGUAAUGCAGUCCUUGUACAUUUGAACAUUUCUGAAACACAUUGCUUUCAAGCCAGAGAUCAGCUUUGUGAGAAUUAUUUAUUUAUUUUAUUUUGCAUUUAUCAUGGAUAAGGUCAAUUGAUGAUGAAAUGGUUUGUGCUUCAGUAAAGGUUGGGGUAGCCUUGAUGUAUGCCCUUUUUUUAAUUAUAUAUUUUUUGUAUGUAUUAUGUAUUAUAUAUGACCUUUCUUUUUUCUUUUUUCUUUUUGUUGGGUGAAAAUACAGGCGCGUUUGGUAUAGGGUAAUAUCAUGGAAUGGUGGGGACUGAUAUGCCACCAAAUUUGGUGCAUGAAAAAAAUCGCAGAGAGCAUCUCCAUUAGGAAAAUUGGUGUUUUCUUUUUUGGAAAUAGGAACAAUAUAAGUUAAUUGCCAUAUAUAUUGUUAGAAUUGACUCCAUUUGACUUUUUUUUUUUAAAAAAAAAAAAUAGAGAAAAGUGUUAAUUAUAUUCAUAAAUUAGGCACAAAGACUUUGAGCCACAAGGGCAAAUACAAAUGCCUACAAAGGGGUAAUAUAAAUAUGGAAGCAUAGUAACCACAUAGGGUUAAUCUAGAUACAAGUAGGGGUGGGCAUCGGGACCGAAAAACCGGAACACCGAACCGAACCGGUGAAAAAAAACCGGAAAAAAAACCGAUUGACCAAAAAAGUCAACAAACCGGACCGGAUCCGGACCGAACCGGUUCCGGUUCUGGUUUUACAUCUCUCCG
rnacentral:lncRNA from 1 species